rnacentral:rRNA from 1 species
UACGUAGGGUGCGAGCGUUGUCCGGAAUUAUUGGGCGUAAAGAGCUCGUAGGCGGUGUGUCGCGUCGGCCGUGAAAACCUGGGGCUCAACUCUGGGCGUGCGGUCGAUACGGGCAUCACUUGAGUUCGGCAGGGGAGACUGGAAUUCCUGGUGUAGCGGUGAAAUGCGCAGAUAUCAGGAGGAACACCGAUGGCGAAGGCAGGUCACUGGGCCGCAACUGACGCUGAGGAGCGAAAGCAUGGGGAGCGAACAGG